GCAGGCUGUAGCGCAGGGGCUAGCGCAGCAGGCUCCCGACUUUUGGAGCUGGCGCGGCGGCGUAUUUGAGUUUGACCAACCGAUCGCAUGGCAGGCACCCAGCCAGCCGCA
rnacentral:tRNA from 1 species